rnacentral:lncRNA from 1 species
UCUGUCCGUGCCUUGUUUUCCCUCCCCCCCUCCUUUCUUUUCAUUCAAUCCUCGUUUUUAUUUCCGUGCUCUCUGUAGUUCACCUUGUUUUGGUUCCCCUCUUCUAUUCACCAAGUAUAAUUCUGUGAUAAAAAUGUUUUACAAAAAUGAUGAUAUGAAAUGGGUUUCAUAUAAUAUGUUAUACCCAACUUUUUACUUUUAUGUAUCAUGUGAGUCCCUAUGAUAUUUUUUUUACUUUUUGCUUCAAAUCAAAAAAAUUAGUAAAACAAAAAAUAUUUCGAAAUAAGAUUAUCUAUUUUUUUUACUAUACUUUUCCCAGCGCUGGUUUGCACCUCCUUUAGGGUAUUUUUCUAAAAAAAUUAUUUAUUUUUACUUUUCUUGACCACUCUAUUUAAAAUAAUUUUUUUAAAUAAGAUUUUAUAAUUAUUAUUUUUUUAGUUUAAAAAUUAUAGAGAGUUAAAAUUUAUCUGUUGAAUUAAUAAGAUUUGAAUAAAAUGAAUGAUUUUAUAUAUAAACAUGAUCAUUGUUAAAAAAAAAACCGUAUUAAAAAUAACCAUUGGAUAAUUCAUAGAGUCGUAUUUUAGUAAUUUUUGGAUAUUUUAUGGGUAUUUUAGUAAGUUAGGCUUAAUCCCUACCCUUAAAUGUUGAAUAAUGGUGGGGUGGGCGGUAUUACAAUCCAUCAAAUUUGAUGGAUUACCAAUCCAUCGAUUACAUAAUCCUAAUCUCAAAGAGAAUCAACAAACACCAUAUUAAUUGGCCCCACCGAAUUUAUAUUCCAAUCCGACAUUCUAAUCUCCAAAACAAACAUAAAUUUAUAAACUGAACAAAAUUGAUAAUUGAUAACAGGCCCAAAAAAAAAAAAAAAAAAAAAAAAAAAAAAAAAAAAAAUAACCCAAAGAGAUGUCCACUCUAAUACGCGAUUAUCAGAAAUUUAUUUAUUUAUUAUAAUAAGGGUAAAUAUAUAAAUACAUCGGCAAUAAUUUAAUUUUUUAAAAAGAUUUACAGAAAUUAUACUCAAAUAAGAAUUUUUUAAUAAACUAAACAAAAGAGAGGACACGUGUCGAUCAAUUAGAGAGGAAUCAUGUGGUCCCAUGAAAGUCACAAAUAGUGUCACUCACCGGGCGCGGUUUUGCUGCUGUCAGCAAACGUACAGUCGCUCCGGUCGGCGAGUUAAGAAAAUGCCACAUGGACAAAGAAAACACUGAAACUUAGGUUUUAACAGACGUUAAAUCAGAAAUAUGGUUUCCAUCUCUAUCCUCUUUUAUCUUCCGUCUCAUUCUCUCUGCCAUCUCUUCAUUAAAUAUGCAGACCCUCUCUCUCCUCUCCGCAUUCUCCCAUCUCUCCCUUUUUAAUUUUUGUCAUCUCCUUCUUUUGUCUUUUCCCUUCUCUCUCUCCCCAAAAAAGUACAAGGAUUUCACAGCUGAGGGGAGGGUCUGGAAUUGGCAGGUAAGGUCGAGUCACCAUCAGAGUCGUCUCCUGUGCCGUGAAACCCCGGACUACAAAUCCCCCCUAGUCCCCCCCCCCCCCCCCCCACACCUACAACUGCCCCCCCCCUCUCUCUCUCUCUCUCCCCAACCCUCCCCCCCCCCUAUACAUACAGUAAAUCCGUGUGUUUGUGUGCAUCAGUGUAGUGUAAAUGAUUUAAUUCUGAGUGAUUAACAAGAAAAAGGCACAUCUAAAAAAAACCCUUUGCAGAAGGACUCCCGAGUUCUCUUGGACCGUUUCAGUGCCAUUUUCUCUUUUCUCUUUUACCCUCAAAAAACUCCUUGACUAUGUACUACUCAAUUUUUUAAUUUUUAGUGAAUUUUUUCAUAUUUGAGGAAAAUCUUAUGUUUUUAUAUUUUUUUUCAGUUUCUCCCCCCCCUUUUAGUGAGAGGAGUUUAAAAAAAAAUAAAAAAAAUAAAAAAAAUAAUAAUAAUUUAAUUUGUGAAAAAUUUACGAAAGACAAAAAAAUUAUUUAUUGCAACAAUUACCCUAAUUUUUUUUUUAAUUUUUUAAGUAAUUCUUUUAUAUUUUCGAGAACUUUUUUAAUCAAAAAAAUAUCACAUUCUGAUUAAAAGUUGGAAAAAAAAAAUUAUUAAAUUAAAAAAUAGUUAUUUUCUAGUCAUUGGUGUGUGAUUUAGCCUCAUGUAAAAAUAUCAAUUAACUUGAUAAUUGUACUCACAUAAUUUCUGAUAUGUCUAAACAAUUUAAACAGUGUAACUUUAAAGCUACAACUAGCUCUCCCAUUCACCAAUCCCAUGGCAGCAGCAGCUGUACUUUUUUUGGGAGAGGAGAAGAAAGACAAAAGAAGAGAUGGCAAAAAUUAAAAAGGGAGAGAGAGAUGAGGAAUGAAGAGGGUCCUGCAUAUAUAAAUGAAGAGAGAGAUGAGAAGGGAGAAAAAGAGAAUAGAGACGGAACCUUUAUGAUUUAAAUUUAACGUCUGUUAAAAGCCUAAGUUUUCAGCUGUUUCUUUGUCCAACGUGGCAUUCUCUAACUCGACGAUCGGGACGACCGGAGCGACUGUACGUUUGCUGACAGCAGCAAAACCACGCCCUCACUCACCACCUGAAGUCACCAUAAGCCAUUAAUGACUUAGUGACUCAUGCCCAUUAAUCACCAAUAGCCGGCAUGGGUGACUCACCUAGCCAACCCCCCAAAUUCCACAACCCACACCUAACUUGACUUCUAAGCCAAGUUCCCGAUAAUUGCGUCAGAAAGAAAGAGACGCAGAGAGAGAGAGAGAAAGAGAAAAGGAAAGGAGGAAGAAAGAGAAAAAGAGACUGGUGGAAAAAAAUUCAAUACAAAAAAACCGAAUCUGUUUUACUAUGUAAAUUCAAUUUAUCUCCUCCUCUUUUAUAAAGUCUUCCAUUUUAAGACAUGUUAUUAAAAAUCAUGUCGUUCUAGUGUAAUUAAGCCUCCAAAAUAUUCUAAAAUUUCAUAAUUUGCACACAUUUCUAUCACCGAACUUCAAAUAGGUCCAUAUCCUAUUUUACUCAUUGGACUAACAGUUAGUAUUUUGAGCGUAAGUCCCACAUACGAUAAUUUUUUGACUUAAUUCGAAAUGCGUAUGAAAGAUAUUUCAAAUACCUACAAUUUUUAUUUAAAAUAUGUUCCCUGAUUUAGAGGUUUAGUGGCUCAAAACAGACUUAAAAAUUCAAAUCAGAAAAAUCAAUAUUCUGUUUUUUUUUCAUAUGGAUCGGUCUAACUUUUCCUGACCGGUAGAAGAUUUUCAGUGAACCUACUGUUUUGUCCUAGACCGGUAGAGCUUUUUCAACCGGUCAAAUUUUUUCAACAUGUCAUAUAUUAUAUUGGGGUCGCUCUCUAAUGACUAGUGAUCGUUGAACGGGUGUAUUUAUCGCAAAGGUCAAUCCAAUAUGAUUUUGAAUUCUUGAUAUGAAAGAAAGGUAAAUGAACUUAAAUGAAUCAAUGAUUGUCAAAGUAAAGUUAUUUUAUAUUGAAGUGAAUUGAUAUUUUAUAAUUUCGUGGGCACUUGUUAGGAUUAUAUAAUUUGUACGUAACAAUUUAAAGAUAAUAAGAACGAGGUGGAGCACCGCGACCUUAGUCAAUUUUUUUUGACCAAUGUCAUAUACUUAGCAUAGGAAUGUUAGUUCUUUUGAAAUUAUAUAGUUUUAUUGACGGUUGUACCAGACACUGUGGUCAAAACCAUAAUUAUAAAUAUUUAUAUACAGGAAGGAUCUAAUGAUAUUGUAGACUUUUCUAUACACGUCAACUCUAGUUAGUUAUUACACUUCUAUAUAUAUAUAAUUGUAUUUAAGUAGUAUCAUCUUGAAUAGAAAGAAAAAUUCCUAAACUAGUUGAGUAGUAGUCCUUAGUUAGUGGUUCUCAUUGGCCGAUCACAAUGGCACAUAUGAUAAGGGUGAUCCCACAUGUAUAAAUAAGUUAGAUGGUGACACUAACGAACUGAAACUUCUACCUUUAAAUAAUAAAUUUUGAAUAUAAAUUCAUCUAUUAAAAAAAAUACAAAAUUAACAAGUAGCCUAUUUUAAAAAAAAAAUUAUCAAAUCUUGUGGACGUAUUAGUUGACUACUAACGAAUUUGUAGAAAAGAUAACCGAUAUGGUUUGAAUCAACUUUGAGUUUUCUAGAUGCCUUAGUUUUUAUUUUAUUUUUUAUUUGAUGAAUUUUUUUAAUGUUUAAUUAAAAUUUUAUAAUAUUUUGGCUUUUUGACGAGAGAAAUCUGAAAAUAAAAAAUAAUUAGUUUAAAAACCCCAUUUUAAACACAUAUACAUAGAGAGAGUGUGUGUGAGAAAAAAGCCCCAUUUUAAAUGAUCAAUUGAACCCUAAAUAGUUCAAGGCCGGGCAAGGUGUAGGGAGGUGGUUUUGUACUGUUGAGAAGAUGUGGUGUGUACGUUUGGGGUACGGUAUAAGUUGGAUAUGGCAGGGUACGACAUGGUUUGAGUGGGCACGGGUACGAAAAUGGUGUGGCACGGCACGGUAGUCGGCCUGACACGAUACGGCACGGUAGUCGGCCUGACACGAUACGGCACGGGUACAGUCAAAGCCGGGCACGGCACGGGCACGAUACGAUAGUUGGCUUGGUUUGACACAGCACGGGCACGACACAGUAAUUAGCAUGACACGACAUGGAAGUGAUAAUAAAUGAUUAAUUAUUAAAUAAAUUAAAAUAAAAUUUAAUUAAAUAAAUUGACUUGCCAUAAUAAUAAUAAGAAAAAAGAGAUAAAAAUUUAAAACGAAUUUUUGAAUAAAUAAAUUAUAAAAAAUAAAUUUUGACUUGUCAUGGCCCAUUAGGCUAUAAUAAGUUCAAAAUAAAUUUUAAUUAAAUGAAUUAAACUUGUCAAUGUUUUGAUGUACUCAUGGCCUAAGUAGAAAAUAAUUUUAAUUAAAUAAAUGUACUUGCUAGUUGCCAUAAUAAUAAUAAAAAAAAUAAAAAAAAAAUUUUGAAUAAAAAUUAAAAUAAAAAUAUUUUGACUUGUUCAUGAGCCAUGAUCAUAAAUAAAUAAAUAAUAAAUAAUAAGUAUAUUUUUAUUAAAUAUAUUG